CAGCAUGGGCAAAAGGACAUGAUGAUCAGGUCGACGGAGACGAGUUCAUCGCACUGCGAACCUUUUGAACAAGGGCGUACAUAGGAUUUACCGAGGUGGCGACAGAAUUCGUAUACUUCCGUGACGUCCUCGCACAUGCCUUUUCUCUUUUUCCCUUUCUACUUAAUGGAGGGAUUUGUAGCGUGUAGGGUCUUAACAACUGACUUGAGAGUUGGAUGGACUCUAUCUGAUGAGCCUUUUUUUGUUCAAAUAGGGGGACCUCCUUGGAUUCCAAGUUGUAUCGAAAACAAACUAUUUUACAGGUAAAGAGAGGCUUUUUUUUUUGUUUUUUUUCCAAUGGUAAGGAAGACAACAAUAUUUUCUUUGAUAUUGCUUUGUUUCCCUACUUUCUACAUCUCAUGACAAGGCGUGGUAGUCUGUUGAUAGAUGAAUAUAGGAUAUAAUGGAAGGAAAAAGACGUUUGCCUUCUUCAAUAUUCUUAGAAUUCAGUAAAGAUCAGAGACACUCACAAUCAUCUUUCAGAUUCUUGUAGUAAACAUUGUACGAGGAUAAUGUUGGUUGUGUGAUUGUUAACUAUCU
rnacentral:sRNA from 1 species